GCCUAAGCAGUUUAGUGGUUUGAGCAUUGGACUAUGUCUCUGGAGAUCAGGGUUCAAAUCCCUGCUUACCCA